AUCCUUCUGUAGUGUAUAAGUGUGAUAGUAGAAUGUUCACACCAUUGUGUGAUAUAUGCCUCCCUCAAACUUUGUUAUGAUCUUGGCACAUUACCUGACUGACA
rfam:Canis lupus familiaris chromosome 34, whole genome shotgun sequence.